GCACGAAGCAGGCGGAGCGUGUGGUUUUAAUUCGAUUGAUACGCGAAAAACCUUACCUGGGUUUGACAUGCAAGUGGUAGGAAUCUGAAAGGGGACCGACCCUUCGGGGAGCUUGCACAGGUGCUGCAUGGCUGUCGUCAGCUCGUGUCGUGAGAUGUUCGGUUAAGUCCGCUAACGAGCGCAACCCUCGUCGUGUGUUACAAGUGUCACGCGAGACCGCCGACGUCAAGUCGGAGGAAGGUGGGGAUGAUGUCAAGUCAGCAUGGCCUUUAUAUCCAGGGCUACACACACGCUACAAUGGUCAACACAAUAGGUCGCGAAACCGCGAGGUGGAGCCAAUCCUCAAAGUUGGCCUCAGUUCAGAUUGUAGGCUGCAACUCGCCUGCAUGAAGAUGGAGUUGCUAGUAACCGCAGGUCAGCACUACUGCGGUGAAUACGUUCCCGGGGUUU
rnacentral:rRNA from 1 species